ensembl:ncRNA ZK863.11 ncRNA
AGUAGAGGAGGUGACAAAAGUGAGAUGCCAACUCACUUAUCCAUUCUACUCGUUUUGUGCUCUUUUCCACUUUCUGAUGUCUGCUC